rnacentral:rRNA from 1 species
GAUGAACGCUGGCGGCGUGCUUAACACUUGCAAGUCGAACGGGAAUUAUUUUAUUGAAACUUCGGUCGAUUUAAUUUAAUUCUAGUGGCGGACGGGUGAGUAACGCGUGGGUAACCUGCCUUAUACAGGGGGAUAACAGUCAGAAAUGGCUGCUAAUACCGCAUAAGCGCACAGAGCUGCAUGGCUCAGUGUGAAAAACUCCGGUGGUAUAAGAUGGACCCGCGUUGGAUUAGCUUGUUGGCAGGGUAACGGCCUACCAAGGCGACGAUCCAUAGCCGGCCUGAGAGGGUGAACGGCCACAUUGGGACUGAGACACGGCCCAGACUCCUACGGGAGGCAGCAGUGGGGAAUAUUGCACAAUGGGGGAAACCCUGAUGCAGCGACGCCGCGUGAAGGAAGAAGUAUCUCGGUAUGUAAACUUCUAUCAGCAGGGAAGAUAGUGACGGUACCUGACGAAGAAGCCCCGGCUAACUACGUG